rfam:Candidatus Burkholderia pumila strain TZHbot3 BPMIctg139, whole genome shotgun sequence.
GUCGUCGUGAGGCGGAGUCUGAAAAGCGUGUAGCAAAGCCAAGACCUGACGAACAGAAACCAGAUGUGAGGCUUACCCGGGCGGACGAGCGAGCCGAUGAGCCGAUGAUCGCGAAGUCCAUAGCCAUCAAGGUCCGGGGUGGUAGAUCUAGCGGGUGCGUGGCGAAGGCGGUUGGGC